rnacentral:tRNA from 1 species
UAGAGCAUCGGUCUACGAAACCGAAGGUUACUGGUUCGAAUCCAGUGGGGUGUA